AUUGAACGCUGGCGGCAUGCCUUACACAUGCAAGUCGAACGGCAGCACGGGAGCAAUCCUGGUGGCGAGUGGCGAACGGGUGAGUAAUAUAUCGGAACGUGCCCAGUCGUGGGGGAUAACGUAGCGAAAGCUACGCUAAUACCGCAUACGAUCUAUGGAUGAAAGCGGGGGAUCGCAAGACCUCGCGCGAUUGGAGCGGCCGAUAUCAGAUUAGGUAGUUGGUGGGGUAAAAGCCUACCAAGCCUUCGAUCUGUAGCUGGUCUGAGAGGACGACCAGCCACACUGGAACUGAGACACGGUCCAGACUCCUACGGGAGGCAGCAGUGGGGAAUUUUGGACAAUGGGCGCAAGCCUGAUCCAGCAAUGCCGCGUGCAGGAUGAAGGCCUUCGGGUUGUAAACUGCUUUGUACGGACGAAACGGCUCUUUCUAAUAAAGGGAGCUAAUGACGGUACCGUAAGAAUAAGCACCGGCUAACUACGUAGCCAG
rnacentral:rRNA from 1 species